UAGAGUUUGAUUAUGGCUCAGGACGAACGCUGGCGGCGUGCCUAACACAUGCAAGUCGAGCGAGCGAAUCUCCUUCGGGAGUGAAGCUAGCGGCGGACGGGUGAGUAACACGUGGGCAACCUGCCUCAUAGAGGGGAAUAGCCUUCCGAAAGGAAGAUUAAUACCGCAUAAGAUUGUAGCUUCGCAUGAAGUAGCAAUUAAAGGAGCAAUCCGCUAUGAGAUGGGCCCGCGGCGCAUUAGCUAGUUGGUGAGGUAACGGCUCACCAAGGCGACGAUGCGCAGCCGACCUGAGAGGGUGAUCGGCCACAUUGGGACUGGGACACGGCCCAGACUCCUACGGGAGGCAGCAGUGGGGAAUAUUGCACAAUGGGGGAAACCCUGAUGCAGCAACGCCGCGUGAGUGAUGACGGCCUUCGGGUUGUAAAGCUCUGUCUUCAGGGACGAUAAUGACGGUACCUGAGGAGGAAGCCACGGCUAACUACGUGCCAGCAGCCGCGGUAAUACGUAGGUGGCGAGCGUUGUCCGGAUUUACUGGGCGUAAAGGGAGCGUAGGCGGACUUUUAAGUGAGAUGUGAAAUACCCGGGCUCAACUUGGGUGCUGUAUUUCAAACCGGAAGUCUAGAGUGCAGGAGAGGAGAAUGGAAUUCCUAGUGUAGCGGUGAAAUGCGUAGAGAUUAGGAAGAACACCAGUGGCGAAGGCGAUUCUCUGGACUGUAACUGGCGCUGAGGCUCGAAAGCGUGGGGAGCAAACAGGAUUAGAUACCCUGGUAGUCCACGCCCUAAACUAUGAAUGUUAGUCGUCGGGGGGCUUGUCUUCUCGGUGAUGCAGCUAACGCAUUAAGUAUUCCGCCUGGGGAGUACGGUCGCAAGAUUAAAACUCAAAGGAAUUGACGGGGGCCCGCACAAGCAGCGGAGCAUGUGGUUUAAUUCGAAGCAACGCGAAGAACCUUACCUAGACUUGACAUCUCCUGCAUUACCCUUAAUCGGGGAAGUUCCUUCGGGAACAGGAAGACAGGUGGUGCAUGGUUGUCGUCAGCUCGUGUCGUGAGAUGUUGGGUUAAGUCCCGCAACGAGCGCAACCCUUAUUGUUAGUUGCUACCAUUUAGUUGAGCACUCUAGCGAGACUGCCCGGGUUAACCGGGAGGAAGGUGGGGAUGACGUCAAAUCAUCAUGCCCCUUAUGUCUAGGGCUACACACGUGCUACAAUGGCAAGUACAAAGAGAAGCAAGACCGCGAGGUGGAGCAAAACUCAAAAACUUGUCUCAGUUCGGAUUGUAGGCUGAAACUCGCCUACAUGAAGCUGGAGUUGCUAGUAAUCGCGAAUCAGCAUGUCGCGGUGAAUACGUUCCCGGGCCUUGUACACACCGCCUGUCACACCAUGAGAGUUGGCAAUACCCAAAGUGCGUGAUCUGACUCGCAAGAGAGGAAGCGCCCUAAGGUAGGGUCAGCGAUUGGGGUGAAGUCGUAACAAGGUAGCCGUAGGAGAACCUGUGGCUGGAUCACCUCCUUUAU
rnacentral:rRNA from 1 species